UGGCCGUGUAAAUCCUGCAGCAAUCUUGAUCUCCUGCUAAAAUUCGCAGAUGUUUUGGUUUCCCUUUUCACUGGUUUUCAUUCUUCCAGCGCUUUUAAAUCGCUCGCACGUUCUCCCUUUCAUAUCUUUCUUCCGUUUUCCUUCGAUUGUGUGUGAGCAGAACCGGAACAGAGCACGGACGAGGCGAGACAGAGCACGAACAAGGCGAAGCAGAUGAGAUUGAAGGCGGAUUUCAAUCUUCUGGGCUUUGGUUCUUUUCUUUUCUUUCGUCUUUCUGAGCUGAUUGUUGUUUUUUUAGGGGUUCUUUGCUUCUUGCAGAAAUUGGUGGCAGGUGGCAUAAACAGAUUUCAUCUUCUCAAAAAGGGAUGAAAAAAAGCAACCAUAUGCCUCAGAGAGAGCGAGCGCGAAGAUUCUUCUCAGUGAAAUUUUCAAGGGUGCUUUGGUGAAACGUCUUGGAUUUUGAAGUUAGAGAAAGGUACUAUUGUGAUUACCACGAUACCUAUUUGACCCACGAUUCUGUAAGUUUAUCACUAAUCUAUUACAACAAUAACACUUAUUAGAUGGAACAAAAACUGGGGUUAAGUUUUAAUCCCAAAAAAAAAGGUUGUUUUCCCCGUAUUCAACCAUAUUAACAACUAUCAAUUUUAUUUGUAUCUUGAUGUGGUAGCUAUCUGUAAGGAAGUAACAUAUUUGCAGGUUAUAAACAUAAGGUACUAUCUAGCUGGCUUCAUUCUUGAAAUAAGUGCAUUGCAUUAUAUAUAUUUAUGAUGCUUAUCAGCUUAUGUCUCAGUUCUUGAUUAAUUUAGGCAAAUGUGAGGUUGUACUGCCAGCAAUUUGAAGAGCAACAAACCCAAAGUUUAAUUGAUCAUAGGAUCAAAGAAAAUCUUGGGCAAGCUACAACUAUUCAGCAGGGAACAAAAAUGGAAUCUCGCAUGAAUUUGGAUGGGGAGAUGAUGAAGAGGUACCAUCUGGCUAUGAUAGCGGUCCUGACGAACUGGGAGCUGACAACUUAAAUGGCCAGUUAAUCUAUCAUGAAUCAAAGCUUCCCAUCUCUGACACCUACCAAAACAAAAAGACAUUGCCUGCUGCAUUGGUUCAUGGAGCAAUUCUUCCUCAUACACCACCACACUGUGUUCUGAGGGAUGAACAUAAAAGAAGAUUUUUUUGUGAUUUAACCUGGAAUGAGAGAAGGCCAGGAGAAUGCGUCUAGAACGGUGGAUGGCUCCAAUUUGUUAAAGCAAACAACAUACAUUACGAAAGCUGGAUCUGGUGGGUGGUUAAGAAGAGAGAUCCAACUGUGGUUCAUGUAGGUGUUUUGGAGAGAUAAGACAUACUCACUUAUAAUUUAAGAAGUUCCUUUAGUUUAUUGAGUUCAUGUUAUUGUGUAAGUAUUCCAUUGAUAUGCUUACCAGAAGUAUCGUGGUUCGUUCAUUUUCUUCAUGUCUUUAAUGUUAUAGAAAUAAAACAAAACUUUUUGGAUUAA